AGAGUUUGAUCCUGGCUCAGGAUGAACGCUAGCUACAGGCUUAACACAUGCAAGUCGAGGGGAAACGAUAGAGAAAGCUUGCUUUUUCUAGGCGUCGACCGGCGCACGGGUGAGUAACGCGUAUCCAACCUGCCCACCACUUGGGGAUAACCUUGCGAAAGUAAGACUAAUACCCAAUGAUAUCUCAAGAAGACAUCUGAAUGAGAUUAAAGAUUUAUCGGUGAUGGAUGGGGAUGCGUCUGAUUAGCUUGUUGGCGGGGUAACGGCCCACCAAGGCUACGAUCAGUAGGGGUUCUGAGAGGAAGGUCCCCCACAUUGGAACUGAGACACGGUCCAAACUCCUACGGGAGGCAGCAGUGAGGAAUAUUGGUCAAUGGGCGAGAGCCUGAACCAGCCAAGUAGCGUGCAGGAUGACGGCCCUAUGGGUUGUAAACUGCUUUUAUAAGGGAAUAAAGUGAGCCUCGUGAGGCUUUUUGCAUGUACCUUAUGAAUAAGGACCGGCUAAUUCCGUGCCAGCAGCCGCGGUAAUACGGAAGGUCCGGGCGUUAUCCGGAUUUAUUGGGUUUAAAGGGAGCGUAGGCCGGAGAUUAAGCGUGUUGUGAAAUGUAGACGCUCAACGUCUGCACUGCAGCGCGAACUGGUUUCCUUGAGUACGCACAAAGUGGGCGGAAUUCGUGGUGUAGCGGUGAAAUGCUUAGAUAUCACGAAGAACUCCGAUUGCGAAGGCAGCCUGCUGUAGCGCAACUGACGCUGAAGCUCGAAAGCGUGGGUAUCGAACAGGAUUAGAUACCCUGGUAGUCCACGCGGUAAACGAUGGAUGCUCGCUGUUUGCGUCUGACGUAAGCGGCCAAGCGAAAGCGUUAAGCAUCCCACCUGGGGAGUACGCCGGCAACGGUGAAA
rnacentral:rRNA from 1 species